rnacentral:rRNA from 1 species
CUGAGUAACACGUGGGCAACCUGCCCUUUGCACUGGGAUAGCCUCGGAAACCGAGGUUAAUACCGGAUACUCCAUAUUUGUCGCAUGGCGAAUAUGGGAAAGCUCCGGCGGCAAAGGAUGGGCCCGCGGCCUGUUAGCUAGUCGGUGGGGUAGUGGCCUACCAAGGCAAUGAUGGGUAGCCGGGUUGAGAGACCGACCGGCCAGAUUGGGACUGAGACACGGCCCAGACUCCUACGGGAGGCAGCAGGC